GGAGCCGGCAGCGCACGUGGGUCCCUUUUCCUGUCACAGCCCUGCCCAAACCACAGGAAAAGCUGGUGCCCAGAGGAACGUUGUCUCAGCUUACCUGCAUCUUUUUUGUCUUCUAGCCGUGUGAAGCACUGCAAAAAGAAAGAAGAAAAGACGUACAUCAUUUUGUUAUCUUCUUCAUUUUCACAUUCAUGGAUUCCUAUGAUUUGUGCUCCUCGAGCAGCUGGGCUCAGUCCCCACACGCAGUGCUCUCGGGGUCACAGGCAGCAGCACGGGGUGGGGACCCCAGGAGGUGACGUGGGGCUCUGUGUCUGACUUGUGCUACAGAGGACAACAAAUGCACACGAGAUCCAAGCACUGCAGCCACGAGCAGGAGAUAUCCUUCUGCUCUCCAUAGCGGGUAGCUGAGCAUCACAGACACAGGGAGAGAAAAAGGAAAGAAUAAAAAGAGAAGGCUGAAGCAGAGCCCUAAGCCUGCACGAGGCCAUCAGCAAUGUUCUUAGUGCAACGGGAACAAGGAACAGCCACAUCCUCCAUCACAUCCUCCCAGCUCUGCUAAGCCCAGCACUGAAGGGCAGCACCACUCUGCUUAACCCUAUUUUGGCAGCUUUCCUGUCUCCCCAUGGCCAGGAGCUGGGAGGGAACCUCAGCCCCAUCCCCCAGGGCUGAUCCACAUGGGGCAGAGCACAGCCCUCCAGCACAGAGCGCAGCCACCAUACAUCAGACAGCGCUGGAGCCUCAUCUGCCUGUGUGCCCCUGCAUGGAGAUGCCCGUGGUGGGGGUGAAGCAAGGACAUGGGGAGACGAGCAGCUGGGCUGGGCAGUGAGGACAGGCCCUGUGCAGGGCCCUGCCGGCAGCACCCACCAGCAGUGGGAGUGCGGUUCUGGUGCUCUCAGCUCCCAGGACAGAGCCCUCAGUGCUGAGCUCACAGGGAUGCAGAGGGUUAAGGGCCCUGCUGAGCUCUCUGGAGACAGCAAGGACAAGAUAGCUAGUAAUGCUACUAAUGAAUUUCACAAAUGUCAUUUUUAGACUCAACAGACUCAACUAUUUUGAGCUUUGCAUUGGGAGCCCCAGGGAAGAGCGCAUUCCACAGGCGCUCAGCACGCAGACCCACGCCUGUCACAGCCCCGUGUGCAGCGCUGGCUGCAGAGCAACUGCAGUUCUUCUUGAAGGCUGACGGUCCCCAACCCCCCCCACCAACACCUCCAAACCUGCCCAGCAAUGCAAUGACCCCACCACAACCAACGGGGGGGCUUUGAGAGGUACACGCCAAACCCAAAUGAAAAAUACCUGAUGCCAAGAGAACAACUGCUGCAGGAAAUU
rnacentral:lncRNA from 1 species